rnacentral:rRNA from 1 species
UCCGCCGGCGACCGGCGCACGGGUGAGUAACACGUAUGAAACCUGCCCGUAGCAGGGGGAUAAGCGGAAGAAAUUCCGUCUAAUACCGCGUAACAACCCGAGGAGGCAUCUCCUCGGGUUUAAAGGAAGCGAUUCCGGCUACGGAUGGUCAUGCGUCGCAUUAGCUAGUUGGCGGGGUAACGGCCCACCAAGGCGACGAUGCGUAGGGGUUCUGAGAGGAAGGUCCCCCACACUGGUACUGAGACACGGACCAGACUCCUACGGAAGGCAGCAG